ACAUAUAGUCUGUGCUAUAAUCUUUCUAGUUUCUAUCAAUAAGUACUCUUUUUUAGUUGAUUUUUUUGCUAUAUGUAUAGGUUAUUCUUAAUGGAUAAGAGUUGGAUAAACAUAUUGAAUAGGAAUGAUCCUCUAUAUGAGAAUGGAGCCAAAAAGUUUCUUCAUUUUGCUUCAUAGGAUAGGCCUAAUGCAUCUGAAAUCUUGUGUCCAUGUCGGAAGUGUCGUAAUAUGAAAUUUAUCUUGAAAGAGUUGAUUGUUGAACAUAUUGUGGUUGAUGGAUUUCUACCUAGUUAUGUUAAUUGGAUUUUUCAAGGUGAGGCAUCAUCUUCAUCAAUGUCUGUUGAUAGAUUAUAUAGAGGUGAUGACAUACAAGACUUGGUACAUGAUGCUUUUAGAUUCCUCCUACUAGUGACUUUAUUAAUAUGGACACUCAUGGUGAUAGUUUUGGUGGGUCAAAUGAACAUAAUGUGGGAUUUGAUAAGAAAACUGAAAAAAAAUUUAACUUAAUGAAAGAAGCUGAGCGUGAAUUAUAUCCUGGAAGCAAAUAUUCACUUCUUUCUUUUCUUGUUCGUCUAUUACAUUUAAAGUGUCUCAAUGGGUGGAGUAAUAAUUCAUUUUCCAUGUUGUUAGAGUUGUUAAAAGAUGUGUUUCCUGAAGGUGAAAUAUUACCUAAGUCCUUUAAUGAUGCAAAAAAAAUUAUUAAAGAUUUAGGACUCGAAUACAAAAAAUACAUGCGUGUCCAAAUGAUUGUAUGAUUUAUUCGAGUGACACAAAAGAUCGAACUGAUUGUAAGUUUUGCAAAGCUCCAAGAUACAAAUAAUUUGUUGGUGAAUCUGGUAGUUUGGAAACCUCAAAAAUUCCAGCAAAGGUGUUUAGAUACUUCCCAUUGAUAUCGAGGCUUCAAAGAUUAUUCAUGUCAUCUAAAACAUCUACCGAUAUGAGAUGGCAUGCGGAAGGUCGCACUAAAGAUGGGGUAAUGCGGCAUCCUGCUGAUAGUAUUGCCUGGAGAAAAUUUGAUGAAUCGCAUCAAGAUUUUUCUCAAGAUCCUCGAAAUGUUAGACUUGGGUUGGCUUCAGAUGGAUUUAAUCCAUUCAAGUCUAUGUAUAUCUCACAUAGCACAUGGCCAGUUGUCUUGGUUCCAUAUAACUUGUCACCUUGGUUGUGCAUGAAGCAACCAUACAUGAUAUUAUCAAUGAUUAUUGAUGGCCCUCAUGCACCAGGAAAUGAUAUUGAUAUAUAUCUAUGACCGUUAAUUGAUGAGUUAAAAGAAUUGUGGUUGGUGUUGAAACUUAUGAUGCGUCAAAGAAUCAUAUGUUUCAAAUGUGUGCUUCAUUGCUUUGGACAGUCAGUGAUUUUCCAGCACUAGGUAACUUAUCAGGAUAUGGUGUGAAAACAAGAUAUGCUUGUCCAUGUUGUCUGACCAAGACUAAAUUUUUGAGAUUGAAAUAUGGGCGAAAAUAUUGCUUCAUGUCGCACAGGCGUUGGUUACCCCAUGGGCACAAGUUUCGAAAAGAUAAAGUUUCGUUUGAUGGUUUUAAGGAGUUAGAGGCAGCACCUAAAUGUUUGUCAGGUAUUGAAGUUUUUAAGCAAUUGAAAGGUAUUAAAAAUAAAUUCGGAAAACAUCUAUCGGCCAAAUCCAAUAAAAGAAAAUGGAAGAAUUCUGAUCAUGUUGACGAUGCCAUGUUGCAAUAUUUAUGGAAGAAAAAGAGCAUAUUUUUUGAGUUAGACUACUGGAAAGACAACAUGAUUCGUCAUAAUCUUGACACAAUGUAUAUUGAAAAGAAUGUAUUUGACAAUAUAUUCUGGACAUUACUAAAUGUUGAGGGGAAAGGAAAAGAUAAUCCGAAUUCUCGUUUGGAUUUACAAGAGAUUGGGAUUCGAAAGGCUUUGCACCCUAAAAAAAGAGCUAAUGGCAAAUACUAUCUACCUCCUGCAUGUUUCACUUUGAGCAAUGUACAAAAAGAUAUGCUCUUACAAGUUUUAAGAGAUGUGAAAGUACCAGAUGGAUAUGCUUCAAAUAUAUCAUAUUGUGUUGAUCUUAGGCAACGCAUUGUGCAUGGAUUGAAGAGUCGUGACUGCCAUAUUUUAAUGCAAUAACUCCUUCCUAUUGCUUUGCGAGGUCUCCUUCCAAUGAAUGUCCUUAAGCCAAUGAUUGAAUUAAAUAAUUUUUUAGGGGCAUUUGUUCAACAGUUAUGAACAUAGGUGAAUUAGAAAAGCUCCAAGAUCGAGUUGCAAUAACUCUUUGUCAUUUGGAGAGAAUAUUUCCUCCAUCUUUUUUCGAUAUCAUGGAACAUCUAGUCAUCCAUUUAGCUGAAGAAGCAAAGAUUGGUGGACCUCCACAAUAUCGUUCAAUGUGGGCAUUUGAAAGGUACUUGCUUACUCUUAAAAAUUAUGUGAUGAGUAGAAGGCAUCCAGAAGGUUCAAUUGCAGAGGGAUAUUGGAUAGAAGAGUGCAUGACAUUCUGCUCAAGAUAUCUACAUGAUGUGGAGACAAAGUUAAAUCGACCUUUGAGAAAUUAUGGUUUGUAUAAUGAGAUUCCAAAUCAAGAGGGUCGUUAGUCAACUAAAAUAGAGGGGUUUAUGCUUGAUGACAUUACUCAUGCCCAAGCACACAGAUAUGUUUUAUUUAAUUCUGCUACCAUAACGCCAUACCGCGAUGAGCAUAUAAAAGAAAUCAAGAAGCAAAAUCCUCGUCUAUCGAGACAUGAUGUGGAUCAAAUUCACAAUGAAAAAUUUCACAUAUGGUUUAGAAAACAUGUUGAGAAGAUACACAUGGAAGGUGAGCAAAUACCAGAAGAAAUUCAAAAUCUAGCUAUUGGCCCAUCAAAGCAAGCAAAAAGGAUGAAUGGAUAUAUAAGUAAUGGAGUUAGAUACUUAACAAAGUCUCGUGAUGCAAAGCUAAAAACACAAAAUAGUGGAGUUAUGGUAAAGGCUACCACUCAGAGCUAUGCAAGCGCAAGAGACAGAAAUCCUAUAUUAGCAGAAGUCACCUUUUAUGGAAUUCUCACGGAUAUAAUUGAGUUGUAUUAUAUCGCAAACCUCAAGUUUAUACUAUUUAGAUGCGAAUGGGUGGACAACAAAAAGGGUCUUAUUGUGGAAGAUGAUUAUGGAUUUACUCUUGUUAAUUUUUCUCAGCUACUCUACAAAAGGCAGCAUCCGUCAAAUGAACCUUUCAUCUUUGCUUCUCAAGCUCAACAAGUGUUUUAUGUCCAUCAUCCAAUAGCAAAAGAAUGGCAGAUUGUAGUGGAAAUUAAACCAAGAGGUUGUUAUAAUUUAGGUGAAAACAAACCAGUAAAUGAGCAAAUGGAAGAGCACAUGGAAUUGUGGCCCGAACAACAGCUAGAUGAUAUUAUAUUUGAAAAUGAAGAGGCUAUUAAAUGGGUUAGAGAAGGUGUGUCGGAAAUAGAAAUUGACCCACUUACUUUGGAAAGUAUUGAAACAUAUGAUGAAGAAGACGACAUAUCUUAGUUACUUUUAUUAUUUUUGUCACUAUUUUAGUAAAGAUUGUUAUUAAACAUAGAUCAUCGAGUUUGAGAUUUCUUAUUAUGCUUUUUAGUUGUUUAAAUCUCAUGUGUGUAUGUGUCUUUUUGUUUGGCCUGCUAGUUUGAUAUUAUUUUAUACGUCUGGAUAGUGGAAAAUAUUUUUCAAUUUUGCAGGAACUGUAGUUUUUGAGCAAUUUUAUUGUGAUGGCAAGAAAAAGACAUAAAAAUUCCAGUCAAGAAAUGCUUCUGCCUGAUUUUUCGGAGCAACAAGAAGAAGAAAUGGGCGGUGCGGUGAUGCCUCAACCACCUCAAAACUGGCCACAACAUGAAGGACAAGCUAUCCGAUCUGGUAAAUCAAGAAAUGAUUCACAUGAAACAGAAAAUUUCUUAGGUUGGAUCUAAAUGGAAAGAAUGGAAGCAUGAAGCAAAAAUGAUUGGUUAUGAGCCAUACAACAACAAUAUCGAGCGCUUAGCUAAACAUCCAAACAUGAUAGAAGAAGACCAAUGUCGUGCAUUAGUUCAUUAUUGGAGCUCUAACGAAGCAAUGGAAAAGAGCGAAAGGAACAAAGAAAGUCGAAGGAAGUUGAGUAUGCCACACACAUCAGGAAGAAAAAGUCAUUCUCAAAUUGUAGAUGAUGUUAUGGGACCAGACACUUAUGGAAAUGUUCGAACUUUAGGAAAAGGAGCAGCUCCAAGUAUUGUUUAUGGCCCUGCAUAUAAGCGAUCCCAGGCUGAGCAAAGAGAUUUUGAUAGAAGGGUUGAGAUAGAAGUUGAAAAAGCUACCUCCGCUAUGAGAAUUGCAAUGGAAGAAAAAUUGUCUGAAGCAAAAGAAGAAAUAGAAGCGACGGAGAAAAAGUUAUUUGAAGCAAAAGAAUAAAUAAAAGCGUUGGGGGAAAAAUGUUAGAAGCAUCAAAGGAUAUGGAUGCAAAAAUAAACGAUAAAGUAAAGCUUGGUAUACAUGCAUAUCUAGAAUCAUUGGGUAUUACUAUUGGCUCAAUUAAGAAAUUAUCUGGUGAUGAACAGGUUUCUGCUAACUCAAUGGACGAUCACCAACAAUCACUAUCACCUGUUUCACUUGUUCACACAAAGAUGGUUAACAUAAUCAAGAAGACUGGAGUUAGUGAAGUUGACACAAAGAAAAAGAAGCGGAUAAGUUUGAAAAAAUUACAAGCAUUCUUGAAGAAAGUGAUGUCAAUUACUGGCAGUAAAAAGCUUGACUUGUGGAGAGUUGAUUUUAUAAUAUUUACUCUAGAAGUUGAGGAAAAUUAAUUCGAAUUAGGAGCGAUCUUAAAGUACUUACACAUUGAAAUUACUAUCCUUUAUGAUUUAGUUAGUGGUUUUACGUGAGAACAAAUCAUUUGAUUUGACAUUAUCUAUCUUGUACUAAGUACUUUUUAUA